UGCGCAGGCGGAAUGAUAAGUCAGUGGUGAAAUCCUAUGGCCUAACUGUAGAAUUGCCAUUGAUACUGUCAUUCUUGAGUACAUAUGAAGUGGGCGGAAUGUGUCAUGUAGCGGUGAAAUGCAUAGAUAUGACACAGAACACCGAUAGCGAAGGCAGCUCACUAAAUUGUAACUGACGCUCAUGCACGAAAGCGUGGGGAGCAAACAGGAUUAGAUACCCUGGUAGUCC
rnacentral:rRNA from 1 species